rnacentral:rRNA from 1 species
UACGUAGGGGGCGAGCGUUGUCCGGAUUUAUUGGGCGUAAAAGGCUUGUAGGUGGCCACGUCAAGUCGGAUGUGAAAUCUCCCGGCUCAACUGGGAGGGGUCAUUCGAUACUGAUCGACUCGAAGGCAGGAGAGGGUAGUGGAAUUCCCGGUGUAGUGGUGAAAUGCGUAGAUAUCGGGAGGAACACCAGUGGCGAAGGCGACUACCUGGCCUGUUCUUGACGCUGAGGCGCGAAAGCUAGGGGAGCAAACGGG